AUUACAGGCAUUAUCAGUAGUGUGAGGAAAUGGGUUGUUUGGAUCUGAAUGCUCUGAUUUGAGCCAAUCUGUAAUUCAGGACGAAGCCAACUGUAACUCCUGAGAAGUGUUUGCUUUGCAAUUUUAUAAUGCUUUGUAUUGAGGUCUUCCCUAACUGCAGCCCUUCAGAAAGAAUGAGAGAGAUUGUUCAAAGUCAACUCCAUUUAAUGUAGAAGACAAGGAGCAUAAACAAUGAACUGAAGAUAUAAAUUUGUUUUCAGGCGAGCCAGGUAAUGGGCCUCCUUGAAAGCUGAAAAGGGCCAUGCUGAGAAUGCAGGGAAAGCGAUACUGAAGACAAGGAUGUUUGUGGGACAAGAAGCAAGGCAUACCAUAAUAUUACUCCCAUUCUCCUUGGACCACCGAUUUCAAGGAUGUUCGAAGCAAGAUACAGCUGCCUCUCCGCAGUCUGUGAGCAGACUCCAGAGGACAGAUAGAGUCAUGCCUCCUUAUCAUAUAAUCUUCAGCACUGGACAGGGAGAAGUCUACAGGCAUUUAGAAGAAAUGGAAAGAAGGAAUACCCCUGAGGUGGAGGUCAUCCCUGCUAGAUCACAUUUGCCUGCUCUGAUUCACUCUCAGGAGGAGCACUGCAAAGAGAAGAUACCCAGCCAAAGCCAAAGGAACUAAAGCUCACUGUAUCAUUAGGAGGAUGAAUCCCUCCUGUUGCUUUAUUUCUUUUCCAUUUGUUUGUUUUUUCUUUUUGUCUUUUUUGUUUGUUUUUGUCUUUUCUCUUUUUGGUAACUAAAAUCCAGAUCUACUAGGACACAUUUUGAAGAAAAAAAUGUUGGAAUGAUGGGGAAUAUAUCCAUCAACAAGAUGAGGAAAAUAGGAUCAAAGCCCAGGAAAGAGGAAGUCAGCUGGGAGGACUGUGCAGGUUAAUGUAGAGAUAAAGCAAAUCUUCUGAACGUUUGCCCCUAGCUGGAGCCCUGAGAGACAGGAGAGUAUACAUGCAUUAGACAUCUACUCUACCCGGCUGAUUUCAGGCAAUGAUUUGGAACAGAAGAUAUGAAGAUAUGAGCUCUGCCCUGCUUGGCUUGACACAGAAAAGAGAUUUUCUGUUGAUAUCACUGUUGGGUAGAACUGGUGCUUGACGUUUUCAUUAAAAUAACAGAUACAGCUCUACUUGCUGCUGUAGCUGCAAACUCCCUUGUUUAUAUUGCCUCUGUUUUACUUUCAGGGCAGGAACAUCCCCUUGGUCCUCAGACUGUUUAGAUUCAGGGAAGCAGUGAAUGUCAGUGUGUGUGUAUGUAUUCAGUUCCCUCUCUGUACAUUUAGAAAUUGUAAAGGGAAAUUUAUUGUGAAGAGGGAAAAAAUAUAGGACUGGUUUCUGUCCCUGUGCUAAUAUCAUGGUAUUAACAUAGGUGAAUUGCUGCUGGUUGAUAUGAGCCUGGCUUCCAAGAGGACAUUCUUGUAGCACCUUGAUUGCCUGGGCCACCCCUCCAAGGAGGCUCAGCAGGCAGCCUCAGCCUUUCUUGUUUGCUGUUUUGUUGUUUCAGUUCUCAGCUGGAGAUUAUUUCUUCUUUCUGUCUCCUCUUGAUACAUGAAUGUGCUGUGUCAGGCUUGCCUUCAGGUCAGUGUCCUGUGCAGGCCUCGCCAUGGUGUCAGCAGUAAGCAGAUCUGAGAAGGCCAAAGGCAGGGCAUCAAUGGAAAAUGAGCCUAACAAAUGGGAAGUCAGGCUGGAUGGCCAGCCAUAAUGUCUUUCCUCUCACGAAACAUGACAGAAAGGCACAACAGAAAAGGCUGCUUUUCCUUAUCUUUAGCCUUUCACCUGGGUUUGUUUUUUCCUCUGUCCUAAUGGUUCCUUGUCAGCUUUUUCUGUGUCCUGACUUCCUUUCCCCUGAGCCUCUCUUGAGAGGCAGAGGAACAGGGUCUGAGCAAGGCAACAGUGGGCAACAAGCUAUAAAUUUGACAGAUUAUGAACGUGCUUCAGUGUGCUGUGUAACCUGUAAAUCAAAACCCAUUUUAAGACCAGCAAUGAAUCCCUGUAUAUCAAAAAGCAGGAGAUGUUAGAAUAGGCAGUUGCUGCCUCUUACAAUAGCUCCUCCAGAAACACAUUGUGCAGAGGGUCUUGUAUUCAUCAUUAAAAUUGUUUUCUUUCUUCCAUUAGCUGCUAUGCAGCAUGUAUGUAUUAGAAGUCAUGGCUAGUAUGACUUCAUUGAUAAAGCUCCAUUGUAUCCAACAUGAAAAGAGAAUAAAAGAGGUAAUAUUCUCUG
rnacentral:lncRNA from 7 species